rnacentral:rRNA from 1 species
UACGGGGGGGGCAAGCGUUGUUCGGAAUUACUGGGCGUAAAGGGCUCGUAGGUGGCCAACUAAGUCAGACGUGAAAUCCCUCAGCUUAACUGGGGAACUACGUCUGAUACUGGAUGGCUUGAGAUUGGGAGAGGGAUGCGGAAUUCCAGGUGUAGCGGUGAAAUGCGUAGAUAUCUGGAGGAACACCGGUGGCGAAGGCGGCAUCCUGGACCAACACUGACACUGAGGAGCGAAAGCCAGGGGAGCAAACGGG